ensembl:lncRNA
UUUUUUCUUUUUUUUUUUCUUUUGUUCUGAUGUGUCUACCUUCAAUAUAUAGAUCCUAACACCAUCAAUUUGAGUUAUUUCAGUUUGUUUCAUGAUCUUAAUUUGGACUACUCAGAAGCAGAUUCUGAGACAAGGAUCUCAGUGCAAGUGACAAUUUAUGUGGGAGGUGAUCCAACAAAGCACACUGGUAGGGGCCUAAGGAAGAGAGACAGGGAAAGGAGGACAGCCAAUAGAGGGUGUGCUCAUAAACAGAGUGCCACUGCGGGUGACUAGACCUCCAUCAUGCUGGGGAACUUUAAAUGAACCAAAAGGUGAGAAAUGAAGGUAUUAUUCUAUCACUGGUUGAGGGCACCUCCUGGGGUUUUUAACUCCGUGGCUCUUCUGGCCAGUCACAUGCACAGGCCAACCUUCAGACAGAGGACUGCAGGUUCUUGUAGUAAGAAGUCACUCGUGUUAUGUUGGGGCAAAAGUAAUUGCAGUUUUUGCCAUUGAAAGUAAUACACCAACCUGAUCAUUACAGGAAGGUGAAUGCCAAGGGGAUAUGCAUUGGGCACUGAAAGCAUCUUUUAUAAACACAGAAAAUUAUAAUACAUGCUCAACUCAACAUUCAAUAGAAUGUGUCAUAGAUGUGUGAGUUUGUUGGGAGACGAUUUUUAUUUGUAGACAUGAGUAAUAGGAGGUAUAUAAUUUUUCAACAUAAGAAGAUUUGUAUUCGAAAUACAAUGUACGAUGAGGAAUGUGCCUGCAAUUUCUUCCUUUCCUGAAUGUCUGAAACCUUUAACGUGAUUCUUUGAAAAUGCACUACUUUCACGCUCCUUUGAGUUAUUGAUGCCACUAAGCAGAACUAAAUGUUUCUUCACGUCUUUGCCCGUAAAAUGUGGCUCCAAUUUAUUUUUUUACGCCCUACAGUACAAAACACAAUGUCUGGAAUAUACUAGAUGUGCCAUAUUUUAGUUGGUAACUGGAAGGUGUGAUAGAUUAGUUCAUUGUUUGGCAAAUAUUUACUUCCUCCUUUUCCCUACAAAGGAGGAAUUAUUUAUUCUGUUGGGCUUGGCCAUGAGACUUGCUUUCCACCAUAGGAUGUUAGUAUGAGUGACACAAGCAAAGGCUUGACACGUACAUCAUGUUAGAAAUUGAUCCCUUAUGAUUCUACAUUUCUACGUGAAAAAAACCUGCCUCAAGAAGACACUGGUUUAAGAAGGAUGAGAAAUAUGGGUUAGAGCUGUAUCUACUACAUAGCUUUGAGCCAAGCCCAUUUGAACCAUCUGUUGAUCAGUCUACCCACAGUUAUAUGAAUUAGAAUAAAUGAUUGUUUUAAAUACUGAGAUUUGAGAUGGUUUAUUAUGCAACACUUUUGUGGCAUUAGCUGACUGACACAGAAUGUAGGCAAACAAAUUCUUUAAGCAUCAGAACAAGACAAUAUUGGUUACAAUACAGUACUUUUUUGUAAAAUAUUAAACAUAAUCAAAUACAGAAAUUGUUUCAAUAUGCUAAUGUUCUCCAAGAAUAGUAAUUAUUUCCAAGCCUUCUUUAAAAAAAAUUUUUACUCUUAUUUCAAUAGGUUUUGGGGGAACAGGUGGUGUUUGGUUACAUAAAUAAAUUUCUUAGUGGUGAUUUCUGAUAUUUUGGUGCACUCAUCACGCAGGCAGCGUACACUGUACCUGAUGGGUAGUCUUUUAUUCCUCAAACCCUCCCACUUUUUCCUCCAAGUCCCCGAAGUCCAUUGUAUCAUUCUUGUGCCUUUGCAUCCCCGUAGCUUAGCUCCCACUUAUGAGUGAGAACAUAUGAUGUUUGGUUUUUCGUUCCUGAAUUACAUCACUCAGAAUA